UACGAAGGGGGCUAGCGUUGCUCGGAAUGACUGGGCGUAAAGGGCGCGUAGGCGGCUGUGACAGUCAGAUGUGAAAUUCCUGGGCUCAACCUGGGGGCUGCGCUUGAGACUGCUGGGCUUGAGGAUGGAAGAGGCUCGUGGAAUUCCCAGUGUAGAGGUGAAAUUCGUAGAUAUUGGGAAGAACACCGGUGGCGAAGGCGGCGAGCUGGUCCAUUACUGACGCUGAGGCGCGACAGCGUGGGGAGCAAACAGG
rnacentral:rRNA from 1 species